AUGAGGUUCCCUGCCCAGCUCCUGGGGCUGCUGAUGCUCUGGAUCCCUGGAUCCACUGGGGAUGUUGUGAUGACCCAGACACCACUCUCCCUGUCUGUCACCCCUGGAGAGCCGGCCUCCAUCUCCUGUAGGUCUAGUCAGAGCCUCCUAUAUAGUAAUGGAAACACCCAUUUGGGUUGGUACUUGCAGAAGCCAGGCCAGGCUCCACAGCUCCUGAUCUAUUUGGUUUCCAACCGGGCCUCUGGGGUCCCAAGCAGGUUCAGUGGCAGCGGGUCAGGGACAGAUUUCACACUGAAGAUCAGCAGGAUAGAGGCUGAGGACAUUGGAGUAUAUUACUGCCUGCAACAUACACAUGCUCCACCCACAGUGAUACAGCCCCGAACACAAACCUCUCGGCUUGGCCCAGCUGCCCACAUGUGUCUUGUCGGGGAGCAGCCCAGCACAUUCUCUGAAUCUCUGAAAGAGAAAGAUGGAGAACUCAGGGGAAUAAGUUUGCUGCUGGGGGCUGUAGGCCAUGAAACCCUCAGGCUUAACUCAGGCCCCACCUGCUCAGGCCCCAUCAGCUGUAACAAACUUACCUGGCAUAAGUAG